rnacentral:rRNA from 1 species
AGAGUUUGAUCCUGGCUCAGAACGAACGCUGGCGGCAGGCUUAACACAUGCAAGUCGAACGAUCCUUCGGGAUAGUGGCAGACGGGUGAGUAACGCGUGGGAACCUUCCCUGUGGUACGGAAUAGCUCCGGGAAACUGGAAUUAAUACCGUAUACGCCCUUCGGGGGAAAGAUUUAUCGCCAUAGGAUGGGCCCGCGUCGGAUUAGCUUGUUGGUGAGGUAAUGGCUCACCAAGGCUCCGAUCCGUAGCUGGUCUUAGAGGAUGAUCAGCCACACUGGGACUGAGACACGGCCCAGACUCCUACGGGAGGCAGCAGUGGGGAAUAUUGGACAAUGGGCGCAAGCCUGAUCCAGCCAUGCCGCGUGAGUGACGAAGGCCUUAGGGUUGUAAAACUCUUUUGGCGGGGACGAUAAUGACGGUACCCGCAGAAUAAGCCCCGGCUAACUUCGUGCCAGCAGCCGCGGUAAUACGAAGGGGGCUAGCGUUGUUCGGAAUCACUGGGCGUAAAGCGCACGUAGGCGGACUGGUCAGUUGGGGGUGAAAUCCCGGGGCUCAACCUCGGAACUGCCUUCAAUACUGCCAGUCUUGAGUCCGAGAGAGGUGAGUGGAAUUCCUAGUGUAGAGGUGAAAUUCGUAGAUAUUAGGAAGAACACCAGU